GGAAAGUUUUAUUCUUGCUUAGAAAUUCAUUAAUUAAGAUGAAUUAUAUAUAAUAUAAUCACUAAAUGUAAUAUGGUAGUAUUUAGUAUUAUACAAUUAAAUAUAUUUAGAUAUGGUAAUCUUGUUAGUAUUGGUUAAAUGCGUGCCAGCUGCCGCGGUUAGACGUGAAAUAUAAAUGAAUAUUUUUAGUGAAGAGUUAUUAGAUUAGUUAUUAAAUUAAUUAUUGGGAAGUAGAUUAUUAUAGUGAAAUUAUUUUUUGUUGAAUUUAAUUGUUAUAUAAUUAAGAAGCUUUGAAAUUAAGAAUAAUAAACUAGGAUUAGAUACCCUAUUAUAAUUAAUGUUAAAGGAUUACUGGAGUAGUAAGAGAUGCUCUUGAAACUCAAAGGAUUUGGCGGUGUUUUAGUCCUUUCAGGGGAAUUUGUUCUUUAAUUGAUUAUACACAAUUUGUUUUACUUAAUUAAGUUAUCAACUUGUAUACCGCCGUCAUAAGAUUAUUUUUAAUUGAGGAUUAAAUUUUCUUAUAUUUAUAUUAAAAGAUAUGUCAGGUCAAGGUGCAGUUUAUGAUUAAGGUAUGAAUGAAUUACAAUGAUUUUAAUUUAUUACGGAUAAUUAUUAUAAGUUUAAUUUGAAGGUGGAUUUGAUUGUAAAUUUAUUUUUAAUUUUUUUAUUGAUUAGGGCUCUAAAAUGUGUACAUAUCGCCCGUCGCUCUCAUAAUUAUAUAUGAGAUAAGUCGUAACAUAGUAAAUGUACCGGAAGGUGUAUUUAGAAUAU
rnacentral:ncRNA from 1 species